CCCUUAGAUGUUCUGGGCUGCACGCGUGCUACACUGAUAUUGCCAAUAUGUCAUUCUUAUCCGAAAUGGAUUGGGUAAUCAAGUAAUGAAAUUUCAUGCUUGGAAUCGGUAAUUGCAAUUUUAUCGUGAACGAGGAAUUCCUAGUAAGCACUAGUCAUCAGCUAAUGUUGAUUAUGUCCCUGCCCUUUGUACACACCGCCCGUCGCUACUACUGAUUGGGUGUUCAAGUGAGAUGCUUAGACCCUUGUUGCAUGGUUCAUUAUUGUGCUCCGAAAGGAAAAAGUUUCAAGCUUGAGUGUCUAGAGGAAGGAGAAGUCGUAACA
rnacentral:rRNA from 1 species